rnacentral:sRNA from 1 species
AACACUAACAUCAAAUGGCAUAUGACUAAAUGGCUUCAAAAUCUGUUACUAUUGGAUCUAUUAAAAUAUGGAACAAUUCUUGGGUUCACCCUUUAGGGGGUGAAUCCAUUCAUUCACCGCCUUUUAGUUGACUAAUGAGAAUUUGACAUGUCAUCUAUUUAAAAAAUAAAU